rnacentral:tRNA from 1 species
GUGCGGUGGCUCAGUUGUUAAGAGUAUUGAAUUCUCUUUCAGAGGCCCUGAGUUCAAUUCCCAGCCCUCACA